rnacentral:rRNA from 1 species
AUUGAACGCUGGCGGCAGGCCUAACACAUGCAAGUCGAACGGUAACAGGAAGACGCUUGCUUCUUUGCUGACGAGUGGCGGACGGGUGAGUAAUGUCUGGGAAACUGCCUGAUGGAGGGGGAUAACUACUGGAAACGGUAGCUAAUACCGCAUAACGUCGCAAGACCAAAAAGGGGGACCUUCGGGCCUCUUGCCAUCGGAUGUGCCCAGAUGGGAUUAGCUAGUAGGUGGGGUAACGGCUCACCUAGGCGACGAUCCCUAGCUGGUCUGAGAGGAUGACCAGCCACACUGGAACUGAGACACGGCCCAGACUCCUACGGGAGGCAGCAGUGGGGAAUAUUGCACAAUGGGCGCAAGCCUGAUGCAGCCAUGCCGCGUGUAUGAAGAAGGCCUUCGGGUUGUAAAGUACUUUCAGCGGGGAGGAAGGGAGUAAAGUUAAUACCUUUGCUCAUUGACGUUACCCGCAGAAGAAGCACCGGCUAACUCCGUG